GAUGAACGCUGGCGGCGUGCCUAAUACAUGCAAGUCGAGCGAACGGACGAGAAGCUUGCUUCUCUGAUGUUAGCGGCGGACGGGUGAGUAACACGUGGAUAACCUACCUAUAAGACUGGGAUAACUUCGGGAAACCGUAGCUAAUACCGGAUAAUAUUUUGAACCGCAUGGUUCAAAAGUGAAAGACGGUCUUGCUGUCACUUAUAGAUGGAUCCGCGCUGCAUUAGCUAGUUGGUAAGGUAACGGCUUACCAAGGCAACGAUGCAUAGCCGACCUGAGAGGGUGAUCGACCACACUGGAACUGAGACACGGUCCAGAAUCCUACGGGAGGCAGCAGUAGGGAAUCUUCCGCAAUGGGCGAAAGCCUGACGGAGCAACGCCGCGUGAGUGAUGAAGGUCUUCGGAUCGUAAAACUCUGUUAUUAGGGAAGAACAUAUGUGUAAGUAACUGUGCACAUCUUGACGGUACCUAAUCAGAAAGCCACGGCUAACUACGUG
rnacentral:rRNA from 1 species